UUUUACUUAUAAAUCGUUUAAAAACUUUCAUUUACAAAAUGCAAAAUAAGAAAAAUAUGACUAACAUCAACAUGUUUAUUUGUGCUUUGAUCAUCUUUCUUUUUACGUUUCUUAAUGAACUCUCCGCUUUUCAUAAAACUGAUAUCCCUUGCGAAUCUGACGAUGAUUGUCCAGUAUCAAUAGGGAUAAAACGUUUUACGUGGGUGUGCCAUAAAGGAUUUUGUGCAAAAUAUUUUUUGUGAGGGAACAUUUAUUAAGUAUUGCUACCUAUGUCUGUAACAUCAUGUAUUAAUUUCUAGAAUAUUAUAUCUGAUGAUAAAUACUGUUGGAACAAAGUUCACAUUGGUGUGUGAAUUGAAAAUAAAAUUUUGUCCCUUAUCGGGUACUAGAGCAUAUUAGUAUGUUGUAGCAUACUAGUGUGUAAUUUUGAGGAAAUAAAUAAAUUAAGUCUCAUAUUUAUUUAUUUA